rnacentral:rRNA from 1 species
CCUACGGGUGGCUGCAGUGAGGAAUAUUGGUCAAUGGACGAGAGUCUGAACCAGCCAAGUAGCGUGAAGGAUGACUGCCCUAGGGGUGGUAAACUUCUUUUAUAUGGGAAUAAAAUGUUCCACGUGUGGGAUUUUGUAUGUACCAUAUGAAUAAGGAUCGGCUAACUCCGUGCCAGCAACCGCGGUAAUACGGAGGAUCCGAGCGUUAUGCGGAUUUAUUGGGGUUAAAGGGAGCGUAGGUGGAUUGUUAAGUCAGUUGUGAAAGUUGGCGGCUCAACCGUAAAAUUGCAGUUGAAACUGGCAGUCUUGAGUACAGUAGAGGUAGGCGGAAUUCGUGGUGUAGCGGUGAAAUGCUUAGAUAUCACGAAGAACUCCGAUUGCGAAGGCAGUUCACUGGACUGCAACUGACGCUGAGGCUCGAAAGUGUGGGUAUCAAACAGGAUUAGAUACCCGAGUAGUC